rnacentral:rRNA from 1 species
CCUACGUGAGGCAGCAGUGAGGAAUAUUGGUCAAUGGGCGGGAGCCUGAACCAGCCAAGUCGCGUGAAGGAAGAAGGUACUUAGUAUUGUAAACUUCUUUUGUCGGGGAACAAAGGCGGAGACGCGUCUCCGGAUGAGUGUACCCGAAGAAAAAGCAUCGGCUAACUCCGUGCCAGCAGCCGCUGUAAUACGGGGGAUGCGAGCGUUAUCCGGAUUUAUUGGGUUUAAAGGGUGCGUAGGCGGAAUCUCAAGUCAGCGGUAAAAAUUCGGGGCUAAACCCCGUCGGGCCGUUGAAACUGAUGUUCUUGAGUGGGCGAGAAGUAUGCGGAAUGCGUGGUGUAGCGGUGAAAUGCAUAGAUAGCACGCAGAACUCCGAUUGCGAAGGCAGCAUACCGGCGCCCAACUGACGCUGAAGCACGAAAGCGUGGGUAUCGAACAGGAUUAGAUACCCCUGUAGUC